CUCAUUAAAUAAUCAAUAAUCUUGGCUUGUCCAUUAUUAUCUAUUUACUGUGAACUGUAUUAUUAUUUGAAAUUUGAGGGAUGUUCCAAUGUUAUAAGGAUAGACAUUGGAAAUGUUAACCGAGUCAUAAUCAGGUUUAGGCCUGGUAUCCUAUUAUUAUUUACCAAAUGAAUUCAGAAUUAAUAUUGUAACAUAGACCUAAAAAAUCUAUAAAACAACUUUUAACAACGGAUCUCUUGGUUCUCGCAUCGAUGAAGAACGUAGCAAAGUGCGUUAACUAGUGUGAAUUGCAUAUUCAGUGAAUCAUCGAGUCUUUGAACGCAACUUGCGCUCAUUGGUAUACCAAUGAGCACGCCUGUUUCAGUAUCAAAACAAACCCUCUAUCCAACUUUUGUUGUAUAGGAUUAUUGCGGGCCUCUCGAUCUGUAUAGAUCUUGAAAUCCCUGAAAUUUACUAAGGCCUGAACUUGUUUAAAUGCGUGAACUUUUUUUUAAUAUAAAGGAAAGCUCUUGUAAUUGACUUUGAUGGGGCCUCCCAAAUAAAUCUCUUUUAAAUUUGAUCUGAAAUCAGGCGGGAUUACCC
rnacentral:sRNA from 1 species